CAAUUGCGAAGGCAGCUUUCUGGACCAUUACUGACACUGAGGAACGAAAGCAUGGGUAGCGAAGAGGAUUAGAUACCCCCGUAGUCCAUGCCGUAAACGAUGUGUGUUAGACGUUGGAAAUUUAUUUUCAGUGUCGCAGGGAAACCGAUAAACACACCGCCUGGGGAGUACGACCGCAAGGUUAAAACUCAAAUGAAUUGACGGGGACCCGCACAAGUAGUGGAGCAUGUGGUUUAAUUCGAAGAUACGCGCAGAACCUUACCAACACUUGACAUGUUCGUCGCGACUCUAAGAGAUUAGAGUUUUCGGUUCGGCCGGACGAAACACAGGUGCUGCAUGGCUGUCGUCAGCUCGUGUCGUGAGAUGUUGGGUUAAGUCCCGCAACGAGCGCAACCCUCACUUUUAGUUGCCAUCAUUAAGUUGGGCACUCUGAAAGAACUGCCAGUGAUAAGCUGGAGGAAGGUGGGGAUGACGUCAAGUCCUCAUGGCCCUUACGUGUUGGGCUACACACGUGCUACAAUGGCAUCUACAACAGGAAGCAAAACGGCAACGUUAAGCAAAUCCCGAAAAGAUGCCUCAGUUCGGAUUGCACUCUGCAACUCGAGUGCAUGAAGCUGGAAUUACUAGUAAUCGUGGAUCAGCGUGCCACGGUGAAUGCGUUCCCGGGUCUUGUACACACCGCCCGUCACACCAUGGGAGUUGGUUCUACCUUAAGGCAAGGUUUUAAACCCUUGACCACGGUAUAGUCAGCGACUGGGGUGAAGUCGUAACAGGUAACCGUA
rnacentral:rRNA from 1 species